ACUCCUACGGGAGGCAGCAGCUAACAAUAUUCCGCAAUGGACGAAAGUCUGACGGAGCGACGCCGCGUGGAUGAAGAAGGCCGAAAGGUUGUAAAGUUCUUUUGCUAGGGGAGAAUAAGUGAGGGAGGGAAUGCCCUCAUGAUGACAAGGACUAGCGAAUAAGCCCCGGCCAACUACGUGCCAGCAGCCGCGGUAACACGUAGGGGGCGAGCGUUGUUCGGAAUUACUGGGCGUAAAGGGCAUGUAGGCGGCUUGGUAAGCCUGGCGUGAAAGACUGCAGCUUAACUGUAGGGAUGCGUUGGGAACUGCUUAGCUUGAGUUACGGAGAGGGAGCUGGAAUUCCUGGUGUAGGGGUGAAAUCUGUAGAUAUCAGGAAGAACACCGAUGGCGAAGGCAAGCUUCUGGUCGAUAACUGACGCUGAGGUGCGAAAGUGUGGGGAUCAAACAGGAUUAGAUACCCUGGUAGUC
rnacentral:rRNA from 1 species